rnacentral:tRNA from 1 species
GCCUCCAUAGCUCAGUGGUCAGAGCACUGGACUUAUGAACCAGGGGUGGGGAGUUUGAUCCCCCCUGGGGGUA